rnacentral:rRNA from 1 species
UGGGGAAUAUUGGGCAAUGGGCGCAAGCCUGACCCAGCAACGCCGCGUGAGGGAAGAAGGCCUUCGGAUUGUAAACCUCUGUCCUUGGGGACGAAAAAAAUGACGGUACCCAAGGAGGAAGCUCCGGCUAACUACGUGCCAGCAGCCGUGGUAAUACGUAGGGAGCGAGCGUUGUCCGGAAUUACUGGGCGUAAAGGGUGCGUAGGCGGCUUGGCAAGUCAGAUGUGAAAUCCCCGGGCUUAACUCGGGAGUUGCAUUUGAAACUGCUAGGCUUGAGUGCAGGAGAGGAAAGCGGAAUUCCGUAGUGUAGCGGUGAAAUGCGUAGAUAUUAGGAGGAACACCAGUGGCGAAGGCGGCUUUCUGGACUGUAACUGACGCUGAGGCACGAAAGCGUGGGGAGCG